GUUUGCAUUGCCCUAGGUUCACUUUCAGUGAUCUAUUUCAUACUAUUUUGCCUUUUUCAGGCUUUGGUGUUAAGAUGUUGAGUACUGCCAACAUGAAGAGCAGUCAGUACAUUCCGAUGCAUGGCAAACAGAUCCGUGGACUGGCAUUUAGCAGUUACCUCAGAGGCUUGCUACUCUCUGCUUCCCUAGACAACACUAUUAAACUGACCAGCCUGGAGACAAAUACCGUGGUCCAGACUUAUAAUGCUGGACGUCCUGUCUGGAGCUGUUGCUGGUGUCUUGAUGAGGCUAACUACAUCUAUGCUGGACUGGCCAAUGGUUCAAUUCUGGUAUAUGACGUGCGAAACACGAGCAGUCAUGUGCAGGAGUUAGUAGCUCAGAAAGCCAGAUGCCCGCUGGUCUCCCUGUCAUACAUGCCCAGAGCUGCCUCAGCUGCAUUUCCAUAUGGUGGGGUGCUGGCUGGAACUUUGGAGGAUGCUUCAUUCUGGGAACAGAAAAUGGACUUUUCUCAUUGGCCUCAUGUGCUGCCCUUGGAGCCAGGGGGCUG
rnacentral:sRNA from 1 species